GGCGUCAGGUAUCUGUGAGGGGUGUGUACUGCAGUGAAAGUUGCUUUAAUCAUCCAGCACCAGAGGUUCCCUGUGUUUGGCUCACAUACAGUACGUCCAAGGAAUGGAGACAGACUGAGGAAAUCUCCAGACCAAGAUAUUUGAAGUCAAAGCUGUAACUCUCCUACACCCCAGCCAUCUCAAUUCCAUUUCAUCAACAUCAGGUUCAGCUCAUCACAAGUCCUCUGCUCAUCUCAUCCUGUAUCCCUCACCACCACCACCUAUGUCCAGACUCUGCCCUGCUGUUGACUUCACUAUCCCUUUGAUUCCAUGAAGACAUCACAAUUGAGUUUUAUCUCUACAGACAUUGCACAUUUGUCUAUCAUAAUUUUUUUUUA